rnacentral:rRNA from 1 species
GCCGGAGGCCAUUGCUAUCAGGGUUUGACUAAGCCAUGCGAGUCGAGAGGUGUAAGACCUCGGCAUACUGCUCAGUAACACGUGGUUAACCUGCCCUAAGGUGGAGAAUACUCCCGGGAAACUGGGGCUAAUGCUCCAUAGUGGAUAUGUCCUGGAAUGGUAUAUCCUCGAAAGAUCCGUCGCCUUAGGAUGGGACUGCGUCCGAUUAGGUUGUUGGCGGGGUAACGGCCCACCAAGCCUUUUAUCGGUACGGGUUGUGGGAGCAAGAUCCCGGAGAUGGAUUCUGAGACAUGAAUCCAGGCCCUACGGGGCGCAGCAGGCGCGCAAACUUUACAAUGCGAGCAAUCGUGAUAAGGAAACCCUGAGUGCCUGUCGAUGCAGGCUGUUCAUAUAUCUAAAUCAUAUGUGAAGAAAGGGCAGGGCAAGACCGGUGCCAGCCGCCGCGGUAAUACCGGCUGCUCGAGUGAUGGCCACUAUUACUGGGUUUAAAGCGUCCGUAGCUUGACUGUUAGGUCUCUUGGGAAAUCUUCGCGCUCAACGUGAAGGCGUCUAAGAGAUACCGGCAGUCUUGGAACUGGGAGAGGUAAACCGUACUUCGGGGGUAGGAGUGAAAUCUUGUAAUCCUCGAGGGA